rnacentral:rRNA from 1 species
AACGAACGCUGGCGGCAUGCCUAACACAUGCAAGUCGAACGAGACCUUCGGGCCUAGUGGCGCAUGGGUGGGUAACGGGUGGGAAUCUACCCUCAGGUUCGCCAUAACUCAGAGAAAUUUGUGCUAAUACCGGAUGAUGUCGUAAGUCCAACGAUUUAUAGCCUGAGGAUGAGCCUGCGUAGGAUUAGGUAGUGGUUGAGGUAAAGGGGAAUAAAGCCGACGAUCGUUAGCUGGUGUGUGAGGAUGAUCAGCGACACUGGGCCUGGGACACGGCCCGGACUCCUAGGGAAUGCAGCAAAGCGUAAUAUAGCACAAUGGGCGAAGGCCUGAUGCAGCUAUGCCGCGAAAGUGAUUAAAGCCGGAGGGAUGUGAAGCACGUUUACCCGUGAUGAUAAUGACGUUACCGGGAGAAUAAGCUCCGGCUAACUCCGUG